GAGUUUGAUCCUGGCUCAGGAUGAACGCUAGCGGCAGGCUUAAUACAUGCAAGUCGAGGGGCAGCAGCUUUAUAGCAAUAUAGAGGCUGGCGACCGGCAAACGGGUGCGGAACACGUACACAACCUUCCUUGAAUAGGGGGAUAGCCCAUAGAAAUGUGGAUUAAUACCCCGUAAUAUAGCGGUGUGGCAUCACACUGUUAUUAUAGUUUCGGCGAUUCGAGAUGGGUGUGCGGCUGAUUAGGUAGUUGGCGGGGUAAAGGCCCACCAAGCCUUCGAUCAGUAGCUGACGUGAGAGCAUGAUCAGCCACACGGGCACUGAGACACGGGCCCGACUCCUACGGGAGGCAGCAGUAAGGAAUAUUGGUCAAUGGACGCAAGUCUGAACCAGCCAUGCCGCGUGAAGGAUGAAGGUCCUCUGGAUUGUAAACUUCUUUUAUAGGGGGCGAAAAAAGGUCUUCUAGAUCACUGACAGUACCGUAGGUUUUKUCUGCC
rnacentral:rRNA from 1 species